rnacentral:rRNA from 1 species
AUUGAACGCUGGCGGCAGGCCUAACACAUGCAAGUCGAGCGGAUGAAGGGAGCUUGCUCCUGGAUUCAGCGGCGGACGGGUGAGUAAUGCCUAGGAAUCUGCCUGGUAGUGGGGGAUAACGUCCGGAAACGGGCGCUAAUACCGCAUACGUCCUGAGGGAGAAAGUGGGGGAUCUUCGGACCUCACGCUAUCAGAUGAGCCUAGGUCGGAUUAGCUAGUUGGUGGGGUAAAGGCCUACCAAGGCGACGAUCCGUAACUGGUCUGAGAGGACGAUCAGUCACACUGGAACUGAGACACGGUCCAGACUCCUACGGGAGGCAGCAGUGGGGAAUAUUGGACAAUGGGCGAAAGCCUGAUCCAGCCAUGCCGCGUGUGUGAAGAAGGUCUUCGGAUUGUAAAGCACUUUAAGUUGGGAGGAAGGGCAGUAAGUUAAUACCUCGCUGUUUUGACGUUACCAACAGAAUAAGCACCGGCUAACUUCGUG